rnacentral:misc_RNA from 1 species
GAUGAAGAAGUAGCGAAAUGCGAUAAGUAAUGUGAAUUGCAGAAUUCAGUGAAUCAUCGAAUCUUUGAACGCACAUUGCGCCCGCCAGCAUUCUGGCGGGCAUGCCUGUUCGAGCGUCAUUUCAACCCUCGAGCCCCCCCGGGGGCCUCGGUGUUGGGGGACGGCACACCAGCCGCCCCCGAAAUGCAGUGGCGACCCCGCCGCAGCCUCCCCUGCGUAGUAGCACACACCUCGCACCGGAGCGCGGAGGCGGUCACGCCGUAAAACGCCCAACUUUCUUAGAGUUGACCUCGGAUCAGGUAGGAAUACCCGCUGAACUUAAGCAUAUCAAUAAGCGGAGGA